ACAUCCACAGAACUUGGCAGAGAUGCCUUGGUGCCUUCGGGAACUGUGAGACAGGUGCUGCAUGGCUGUCGUCAGCUCGUGUUGUGAAAUGUUGGGUUAAGUCCCGCAACGAGCGCAACCCUUAUCCUUUGUUGCCAGCGGUCCGGCCGGGAACUCAAAGGAGACUGCCAGUGAUAAACUGGAGGAAGGUGGGGAUGACGUCAAGUCAUCAUGGCCCUUACGACCAGGGCUACACACGUGCUACAAUGGCAUAUACAAAGAGAAGCGACCUCGCGAGAGCAAGCGGACCUC
rnacentral:rRNA from 1 species